CGAUGGGCAUGCAGGUGAGGGUGUACACGCCGAAGCGGCUGUUCCAGCAGAGUCCGCCCUGGUCGUCCGUCGCCUUUUCCUUUGCCAGAUGCAUUGGUAGAUCGGACGCCGCUGCCUUAGGGUGGCGCAUUGACGCCGUCGCCGGGAACGGAGGAUAAUGAGAUGUCGAAGUGGCAGAGUGAAUCCAUGAGACUGUAGUAAAAUUGCACCGUUCCAUUGUAUAUUACUCAGGAAUAAUGACAUUUCAAUGGCAGAUUAGCUCUAUUUUUCCUUUUCAUUUUUCUUACUAUUGGAGUGAGGACAUGUAGAAUGAGAAACUGUGUGGUAGUAGAUAUGGCAACUGUGUGAUAGUAGAAUCAGGAAUAAGGAAUAUGGCAACUGUGUGAUAGUGACAUUUUUCCAUCACUAUUGUUUCUUGGAAUUGUAUGCAUAAAAUGGAAUUGGUCAAUUUUAAA